GCUUAUGAAGGUCUGAUGAAGACGAGGGACGCAGAGUUGGAAUCUACACACCGUCAGUUGGUAGGGUCUCGUGAGGACCUGAAGGAUGCCAAAGCGUGCGCCCCGGAAACACGAGGAGGAGCGUGGCCAUAUUCAAGCAGAAGUACGCUGUUGCCAUAGAGAAGAUGCAGCAGUGUUCAGGGCCAGGCGGACUGCAUGGAGGAGGAGCUGUGCUAUUCACAGCAGCAGCUAAGAGACUCCCUCUUAGUAACGAGUGCAGCCAAGGCACAGCUUGGCCGAGCUGGAUGGGCAGUACCGGGAGAUGUUCAGCCAAUGGGAGCACUCAAAAGAGGCCCAGGCCCAGCUGACGGACGAGCUGCAAGCCAAUCAGAGUCAGCUGAGAGAGAGCCAGGCCAAAGUGUGCCUGAGUGAGGGCCUCGUUGUGGCAUUGAACAAACAGGUGGACGAUCUGAAACAACCAGACGUCGAUGUGUGAGCGAGAGCUAAUCCUGCACAGGCAGACUCAUUCUCACCCAGACCGGAGCACCUCAGCCUUCUGUCUGACAACCAGCAGCUGCAGAAGGUAAAGCCACAGCAAUCGCAGGAUUCAUUUAGAUUCAAAGCAGUGUUCCCGUUUUCUGCAAGCUUUUUGCAGCCGGGACUCAAGCGAGGAACUACUGCAAAUUCCCAGUGAAUGAAUUCCGACCCUGACACAUCACCCGUAUCAUUCAUGCCAUACAUGUAUGUUGUAGACGGGUGCCAUACUUUACUCGCCAAAGUACAUUCAGUUGUUGGGCAGAACUAGCUAAACAGUUUCCAAAAACGUGUGUCUGUAUUUUCCUUUUCCAAUAAAUAUAUUCCAGUACAAUUUUCCUGUUUGACUAGUUUUGUUUGUGUAAGUGUGUGUGUGUGCGUGGGUGUGUGCGUGUGUUUGUAUUUGAGCCAUGUGCCUCUAUGUUUCAGCGCUGCUCUGACCAAGUGCAACAUCUGGCGGAGGCUGAGAGAGCUAUCCUUCAGAUAAGGACUAAGCUGGAGACACAGUCGAAGGAGAAAGCCGAGGUGGAGCGAGGUCUGGUCGAGGCCCACCACAACCACCUGACCACUUGCAGACAGCAGGAACAGGAAGUGACCAAGCUUGAAAAGGAAGUGACACGCUUGAAGCUGGAGCUCACUGACAGCCAGAGAAACAGGGCCCACCAGGAGCAGAUGUUGGAGGAGCUCCAGCGGGUGUCGGCGGAGCCGCUGAGGGCGGCCCGGCAGGAGGCAGAGCGGCUGGGCCUGGAGGCCGAGGCGGGCCGGGCGGAGGUCCAGAGGCUCCAGGAGGCCCUGCAGAGGGGGGAGGGCGCAGCCCAGGAGAGCCAGGGACUGAGGGCCCGCGCCAGGCAGCUGACCAAGGAGCUGGAGGAGCUGCGAGGCCAGCACCGACAGACAGUUGAGGAGUUGUCUGUCCGUGCCGAGGAGGAGGCGCGGAGAACGGGGCGCCGCCGGAGCGAGGGAAGAUGGAGGAGGAGAGGAGAAGGUAACGGGGACACAGAGGAGCGGAGUGUACCCCCAAAGGAAGUAACGGGGAGGAAAGGAAGGAGAGGAAGGGAGGAAGCUGUGUCCUUUCUUUCAUCCCUUUCCCAUGCGGUCGUUCCCCCCCGUGCCGGGUAAUGAAAACCAUGGAGGUUUCCCCCGCGCGGGGCAGAGCGGAGGGCUCUUUAACCCCACAUGUGUGGAGCAGGGGAGGCCCGGAGUCUCUGCUGGGUGCUAUGUUUAAAUCAAAUCAAACUUUAUCGAUAAUGCACCUUUCACGCAGCACUUUAAAGGUAGUCCACGACGCAGGGCGAUUACUUCCCUCCGUCGGCCGUACACAGAAAUAUAUCCGUUUUCAUGUUGCGUGGUUUAUGCAAUAUCCCGAUGGAGAGAAUCACUCUGUGCAUGUAUGCUAUGCUAACACUUUUUCAAUAAGCAAUUAAGCAUUAAUUAGCAUUAAGCAAAUAACAGCUAACUCAUUUUCUAGUAAUCAUGUACUAAUAGUGUUCAUAUUAAUCAAGGUAAUGGUCUUCAUGUUAACUGAAGUAUUAAUAUACAUUAUUUAACCCUAACCCUUAUGCAAAUGUUUGUAAAUAUUCUUUAACUAAUUAACUAUGUUAAUCGAUAAUUAAUUCAUGUGCCAUCGUUGAAAAGUGUGUAUACCUGGUAUCAAGUUAGGUAUCAACUUAUGCAGUUGUCCAUACAUGUAAAUGCAGAUGUAGUAUAU
ensembl:lncRNA